rnacentral:lncRNA from 1 species
GCCUGUCUAUAAAAUGUGGUGCACUCCUCUGUGGGCUGGAAUUCCCAUUCAGUCGCUCCUCUCUCUCACGGUAGAGAGAGCUAUUCUUUUUUCUUUUUCUUUUGCCUAUUAAACCUCUGCUCUUAACCUCACUCCACAUGUGUCUGAGUCCUUGAUUUCCUUGGCAUGAGGCAAUGAACCUCCUGUAUUUACCCCAAGCAGUGACACUGCUUCAAUAAUAUGUUGUAUAGUUUCAAAUAGCUAGAAGGAGGAUACUGAAUGUUCCCAACACAAAGAUAUGACACGUUUGGAAUUAUGAGUAUGCUAAUUACCCUAAUCUGAUCACCAUAUGAUUGAAACAUCACUAUAUACCCUAUGAAUAUGUACAAUUAUUACGUGUCAAUUAAAAAAUUCAGAAUAGAAAAAAAUUAAGUUCUUUCCAUAAUUAAAAAAUAUAUAUAUAUAUAUAUGAAGAAGGAAAAGUAGUAGUCAUAAAUAGCUCAAAUUACAAGUUAAAUACCCAGAACAAAUAGAUUGCAAAACACCUACAGGCUUUCUCCUGUGCUCUGACAUUCUGAUUAGCAGGAAAGUGAUUAGCUGAAUGUCAAACAGGAUUAAGUUUAGUCUGAACUGGUAAUCAAGAGUUUUUUUAGAUUGUGCUUCAUCUUUCAUGUGGAUGAAAAUGCUCGGUUUCUCAGAUCCCUCUCCUUCCCCUGCUUCUCUCCUUCUGUUCAAGUGCAUAAGGAUUGAAGGAGAAUGCAGGCUUCUGGCUUGGGGAAUGAGAACAUAUUGAUGCUCUGAAAGACAACCCCAGAAGAGUAUGAGGAGACAUACACAGUCUACGCAGGCCUGUAAGGUAACUUUUAGAAAUUGUACUGGUUCAGUGCUUAUGGGAAGCCAGAAAUCGUAAUCAGUGCAUAGCAGAAAGAACAAUCAGCUGGUAAUAGGGAGUCACUAAACAGAUAAAGACAGCAUUGCUAAGGACAGCCUUGUGACAAUAAUAACAGGAUCAGGCCCAGUAAUUAGGCAGUUUGUGGCAGUUGAUCGGAAAAGACGAAGAAUUAUCUGUGGUUAACCUACAUAUGCGGGCACUUAGGUUGCUGAAGAAUCACAGAUGGCACAAAAAAAGUGUGGAUGAGAUGGGUCCCAAAUUAUGUGCACUGAAAAUACAAGC